AAAUUGAAGAGUUUGAUCAUGGCUCAGAUUGAACGCUGGCGGCAGGCCUAACACAUGCAAGUCGAACGGUAGCACAGAGGAGCUUGCUCCUCGGGUGACGAGUGGCGGACGGGUGAGUAAUGUCUGGGAAACUGCCCGAUGGAGGGGGAUAACUACUGGAAACGGUAGCUAAUACCGCAUAACGUCGCAAGACCAAAGAGGGGGACCUUCGGGCCUCUUGUCA
rnacentral:rRNA from 1 species